GGGUAAGCACGUGCGAGUGGAGGGGGUAAGAAGUAGGUCCCGAGGGUUUGCCGGAUUUAUUGGGCGUAAAGCGAGGGCAGGCUGUUUGAUAAGUCGGACGUAAAAGGCGGUGGCUUAACCAUAGUAUGCUUUGGAAACUGGCAAACUUGAGUGCAGAAGGGGAGAGUGGAAGUCCAUGUGUAGCGGUGAAAUGCGUAGAUAUAUGGAGGAACACCGGUGGCGAAAGCGGCUCUCUGGUCUGUAACUGACGCUGAGGCUCGAAAGCGUGGGGAGCAAACAGGAUUAGAUACCCGGGUAGUC
rnacentral:rRNA from 1 species